rnacentral:lncRNA from 1 species
AUUCAUCUUUUUAAUGUUCUCAAGUUUACCUUGUUCAUCUUAUGGACAUUUUGUCCUUAUUGAGUGCCAUGAAGUGUACUGUAGAAUCUUUUUACUUGAUAGAUAUAUUUUGUCACAUUUAGAUACAUGUAACUUAUAUGCUCUAUGCAUAGAGUUGAGGUAUAUCAUGUGAUACGUUUUCUGAUAGGUAUUCGAGGAUGCUUAUAAGUCACCAUUAAGCAUAAUUAUCCUUGAUGAUAUCGAAAGGUAGCUACUUUUGAUUCUAGAAGAAUAUAUAUAUAUUUUUUUGUUCUUUUGCAUUCUUGUCUAAUCUCUGUUUGCUCAUGCAGGCUAUUGGAGUAUGUUGCCAUUGGACCCCGAUUUUCAAAUCUGAUUUCUCAGACAUUGUUGGUGCUCAUGAAACGGCUUCCUCCGAAGGUAACUUCUGAAUACUGAGGCUUCAGUAAAGGCUAUAGUUAAUUUGAAUCCUUAUUGAAAGGAUGCUUUAAACUACUUUUUCUCUGUGAUAACACCGAGUUAUGUCUCAAAUAUUCUGAGAGUUCAAAAGUUUGGGUCAUCUCUGAGGGUUAGUUAUACCAACUGACUUUAGAAUACAAGAAUACACUAUUCACUCGAUUCAUUUUCCACCUGUUGAUCAACAGCUGGUUGCAUAUUGGAUGACACUGUGACCAAUUUUGAGGUAAUUAUGCGUUGAAAACUUGAAAUUGAAACUCAGGGACUAAAUUGAGACUCUGGAAAGUUUAGGGACAACAAGUGUCAUUGGCCCUUAAUUUGUUAUUAUUUUUGCUCUGGUUCUGAUGCUGGAAGCAAGAUGUUCUUUCUUUAGUAAAUGAUUUUUGUCAGAAGUGCGAAAGAGAUUGUCAUUUGCUUUGUGUGAAACCAACAAAAUUGGUAAGAUAGUUGAUAUUUCUUGUAAGAGGGACCUGCACAGUAUGAAUGAUAAAGAGAAAAACAAAAAGGUACUUGAGAAUGCAUUUGAGCAAUAAUAGAAUGCAUGAACUGGCACAGACCUCGAAAAAUUAUUGAGAUGGACCGACCGGGCUAUUGGUUCGAUUUGGAGCCGGACCGGUUAUUCUCUCUAAGCCCAUCCUGGACCAGCCCACUGGCCCAUCCAAAAGCGGCAGGUCCAGAGCCAACCGGGUUGUUUUUAGUCUUUGAUUUCUUUAAAAUCAAAUUCUCUGAAAUUUAUACAGCUUAAUGGCUUGGUUUAAUUGAGAUGGUAAUUGUUAUGCCUUGAUUAAAUCAAGAUAGCAUUAAGUGCUGUCUUAAUUAAAUCAACACUGACUCAGAAUUAAUUAAUUUUCUUUGUUUUGAUAGAGGCAAAUGGCAAUAAUCAAUUGGCAGAAUUAAUUAGUUUUGCUUCCAUUGUAUUAUGGCUGAAAUUUCUUAAUGAAGGCAGGUUAAUCUGAUUUCUGCCUUGAUUAUGCAUUCAAAUUGGGAAGUUUACUUUUUUCCUUUAGUUUGUACAUGGGCCGCAGUUAACCUUCGGGUCAUACCCCAAAACCAGACCGGCCUGCCUAGGAGGGUGUGAUAGCAUGAGGACAGGCCCACACUGUUGCGGUCCAGUUUACAGGCUGGUCUGUAAGUGAGCGGCCCUAUC